CACGUCAGCACGCUUUGCUGACGUGGACACAAAUCGCGCUCCAGAGGACGCGAUUUGUUGCCAUGUCAGCAAAGCGCGCAGACGUGG
rfam:Gossypium hirsutum cultivar TM-1 chromosome 9, whole genome shotgun sequence